rnacentral:rRNA from 1 species
GAUUAUGGCUCAGGAUGAACGCUAGCUACAGGCUUAACACAUGCAAGUCGAGGGGCAGCAUUGGGAUAGCUUGCUAUUCAGAUGGCGACCGGCGCACGGGUGAGUAACGCGUAUCCAACCUCCUGCCAGUAGGGAACAGCCCGGCGAAAGUCGGAUUAAUGCCCUAUGUUCUUCAAUGCGGACAUCUAAGUUGAAGGAAAGAUUCAUCGCUGGCAGAUGGGGAUGCGUCCGAUUAGCUUGCCGGCGGGGUAACGGCCCACCGGGGCGACGAUCGGUAGGGGUUCUGAGAGGAAGGUCCCCCACACUGGUACUGAGACACGGACCAGACUCCUACGGGAGGCAGCAGUGAGGAAUAUUGGUCAAUGGGCGUAAGCCUGAACCAGCCAAGUAGCGUGCAGGAUGACGGCCCUACGGGUUGUAAACUGCUUUUAUGCGGGGAUAAAGUGCGGCACGUGUGCCGCUUUGCAGGUACCGCAUGAAUAAGGACCGGCUAAUUCCGUGCCAGCCGCCGC